UUGAACGCUGGCGGUAUGCUUAACACAUGCAAGUCGAACGGCAGCAUAAUCUUCGGAUUGAUGGCGAGUGGCGGACGGGUGAGUAAUAUAUAGGAAUCUGCCUUCUAGUGGGGGAUAACUAUCCGAAAGGAUAGCUAAUACCGCAUAAUGAUUACGGUUUAAAGCAGGGGAUCUUCGGACCUUGCGCUACAAGUUGAGCCUAUACAAGAUUAGCUAGUUGGUGAGGUAAAGGCUCACCAAGGCGACGAUCUUUAGCUGGUCUGAGAGGAUGAUCAGCCACACUGGGACUGAGACACGGCCCAGACUCUUACGGGAGGCAGCAGUGGGGAAUAUUGGACAAUGGGCGCAAGCCUGAUCCAGCAAUACCGCGUGUGUGAAGAAGGCCUUCGGGUUGUAAAGCACUUUUGUUAGGGAGGAUGGCUAUUUAGGAUAAUACCUUAAGUAGUGAACUAUCCAGAGAUGGAUGGSUGCCUUCGGGAACUGUAAGACAGGUGCUGCAUGGCUGUCGUCAGCUAGUGUCGUGAGAUGUUGGGUUAAGUCCCGCAACGAGCGCAACCCUYGUCAUUAAUUGCCAUCAUUUAGUUGGGCACUUUAAUGAAACUGCCGGUGACAAACCGGAGGAAGGUGGGGAUGACKUCAAGUCCUCAUGGCCCUUAUGGUUAGGGCUUCACACGUCAUACAAUGGUACAUACAGAGGGUCGCCAACCCGCGAGGGGGAGCUAAUCCCAGAAAGUGUAUCGUAGUCCGGAUUGGAGUCUGCAACUCGACUCCAUGAAGUUGGAGUCGYUAGUAAUCGCGGAUCAGCAUGUCGCGGUGAAUACGUUCCCGGGUCUUGUACACACCGCCCGUCACACCAUGGGAGUUGAUUGCUCCAGAAGUAGGUAGCUUAACCGNCAAGGGGGGCGCUUANCCACGGAGUGGUCA
rnacentral:rRNA from 1 species